UUCGUGAACAUUAUCUCUCUCCAUCUAACCUUAAUUUUAACAUGUACAAAGUUUCUGACCUCUUGAAAUGUUUUUUGAUUCGUUAAGUUGUGAUGAAAUGGCAGUAUUGUUGAUGAAAUUUAGUUUUUAACCGUAUAACGUUGGGGAAAUGUGGGCGCUGCAGUUCUGUUAGCUGUAUCAGAAACGACCCUUUUUAACAGCCUUUAUUCAUUUUGUAUUUUAUUAACAGACUGGAUACAUGAGUGUAACGUCCAACAUCAAGAUGUCAAGGAAAACAAAUUUGUGAACACUUUGAUGGGGAAAACUAUGAACCAGCAUGGAGACCAUGUGCCACGAAGAGAAAAGUCUGCAGACUGCAGAGAUGAAGCCCUGCCCCCACGCUCAGACCUCCUGACGUGACAUCUGGUGCUCAAGUAUGACUUGGAGCUUAAAAAAAGUAUGAAAGCUUGGAUGUGGGAAACCAUGAACCAUCGAGGAGACCACGUGCCACAAAGACGAGUCUGCAGGACUACAGAGAUGAAGCCCUGCCCCCCUCAGACCUCCUGAGGAGGUGCUCAAGUAUGACUGAGUUGAAAAGAGUGGAAGAUUCAGCGUGACUCUCCGAGGUGUUUGGCUGCAGAUGAGUGCAAAAGUUAGUCAAGUGAGCUUUACUGCUUCCAGUCGACCUCCAUUGAGAAGCGUUUACCAGUAACCUUGUGGAUCCUUGUUGUGGCUCCUCGAACCUGCAAACUAAAGAGCUUUCACAAACAUGACAGCACUUUGAAGCAGAUUUCAUCUGAGAGUUGAAGAACCAGUUCAUCUGCUGAAGAAAAACAAAAGUUAAUUUCUGUACUACUAAAAAAAAAUAAAGGAA